CGGAGGAGGAACCCUGAGGAUCCUGAAGCAGGCUCCUGAGGAGAGAGAAUCACUGCUGUGAGUGGCUUCUCCUGCAGUCCCAGGCAGCUGUGAAGCUCCUUGCUUGCACCUUCUGGUUUGAUUUGGUGGGCCACUUGAUUUUUCCACUUGUUCUUUUGUCGUGCCUGUUUGAGAGCUGUAUUGAUUUCUCUCUUUGCGUGACUUCCACAAAAAGCUGCUCUUUGCUCCCAGCUGUGGAUGCUGUUUUUCGCCAUCUCUUCGCUUCCCUUUGAAAACACUUGCUUUGCUAACCCCUGCAAGCAAGGAGACACUUAAAACCCCUGAGGAUGGAUAGAUGAAAGGCUUGGAUUUAUUCCUCAGUGUAAGCUACAGCAGCUUGGAGUCUGCUGUAAUUUAAACAGCCUCCUCCGAGCUGACUGUGCCUCGUCUGUAACCCACCCCCUCUAGAACUGGUCCAGAACUGGCAGCAAUUCAAUGGAAACCGAGGGGUGAUGUUUUGGGUUGGAUGAAACUGCCCUUUCCCAAGAAUUUAUUGGAUGCCAUCUCAUCUCAUUGUGGCUUUCACCUGCCCGCUGCUAUUCCGGGACCAAGGGAACCUUAAUGCGACUUCCUAAGGAUGGAAUCAUGGUGACAGUCAUGAUGCUUGCAGGGCCAAGGUUUCUUCUGGCUUACUGUAACCUUUGGAGAGGCAGAGGAAAGCUAAGCAGGGAUUUCAGGCACUUGCUGGGGAUGGAUCGUACUCACCAUCCUUGAAGAGGUGGAACUGGGACCAUGCCCUGCUCUGCAAAGAGUCAUGACUGUAGCUCCCAAGGGAAGGAACAAAACCAGGUGUCUGACCGGACCUGGGUGGGUUUGCGUACUGCCCAGUGCCCCCUGGAAACCUGUCCCCUCUUCCUCCUUGCCCAAGGCAAUAGCCCCCAAAGCCCAGAGGGAACAGGUGAGAAGGCUCAUUUCUUUCUCCUGGAGCUGGGGCAGCCUGAGCCAUCUGACAGUGGGGUUGCAUCCAACAUGCACAGGCACCAUCUGCUCCAGCACGAUGCCACCUGUCCCUGCUGUCCCCUCUCCCCCUGCUCUGCCUGGUCCCACCACGCUCCAAGCAGAGCCAACAAGCCAAGCACAUUAAAAACUUAAUGUAAAACUAAUUUGUCAGCCAUGAAAAAGUGGGAGAGGCUUCAGCGUGUUUUCUGCUCGUUUUAUUCCGCUCCCCCAGCAGGCGAUGCGUGCCUCCCAUCUCUGACGAGUCUGCUCUCACCCAGCACCACGGUGGGAGCCUGGCAGUGCCAGGGAGAGAGGGGCUCCCUCGGGGAAUCAGUAAAGGGGAAGGUUGGAAGGGGCCUGCGAAGCAGGGGGACCCUGGAGGAAGGAGCUUCUGGCUGUGAGGGAAGAGCUUCAAAGAAGAUGCUGCCACCAACCUGAGAAAAGUUAAGCCCCUUGCAGCUUGGGAAAGGCCUGGGACCACCUCUAAAAGUUUGUAUGGGCAGGGGCUUAGGACCACAAGGAAACUCGCAGGGACUUCAGGAGGUUUCAUGUCCUACCUCCUCCUCAAAUCAGGGUCAGCUCUGGGGCCAGACUGGGUUGCUCAGGCCUUUAUCCAGUCACGUCUUGCAAAACUCCAAGGAUGGAGGAUGCCAUGAUGGUAUCUACAGGAUUUUUCUCCUCGAGUGGCACCAGACCCAGUUUCCUGGACUGUGAACUG